AUUGAACGCUGGCGGCAGGCCUAACACAUGCAAGUCGAACGAGUGGCGGACGGGUGAGUAAUUUCUGAGAACCUGCCUGAUGGAGGGGGAUAACUACUGGAAACGGUAGCUAAUCCUGCAUACCAUCAGUUGUGCCCUGAUGGGAUUAGCUUGUUGGUGGGGUAACGGCUCACCAAGGCGACGAUCCCUAGCUGGUCUGAGAGGAUGACCAGCCACACUGGAACUGAGACACGGCCCAGACUCCUACGGGAGGCAGCAGUGGGGAAUAUUGCACAAUGGGCGCAAGCCUGAUGCAGCCAUGCCGCGUGUAUGAAGAAGGCCUUCGGGUUGUAAAGUACUUUCAGCGGGGAGGCGUUACCCGCAGAAGAAGCACCGGCUAACUCCGUGCCAGCAGCCGCGGUAAUAC
rnacentral:rRNA from 1 species